GCAAGUCGAGUGCGCGGUUGUAGCAAUACAACUGGCGCACGGCGCACGGGUGCGUAACACGUGGGCAAUCUGCCCUCCGAUGGGGAAUAACUCCGGGAAACCGAAGCUAAUUCCGCAUAACAUUCCCUGAACUCCGGUUCGGGGAUUCAAAGCAGCAAUGCGUCGGAGGAGGAGCCCGCGCCCGAUUAGCUAGUUGGUGAGGUAACGGUUCACCAAGGCAAUGAUCGGUAGCUGGUCUGAGAGGAUGGCCAGCCACACUGGAACUGAGACACGGUCCAGACUCCUACGGGAGGCAGCAGUGGGGAAUCUUGCGCAAUGGGCGAAAGCCUGACGCAGCGACGCCGCGUGGGGGAUGAAGCUUCUCGGAGUGUAAACCCCUUUCGACCGGGACGAAUGCCCGCAAGGGAGUGACGGUACCGGUAAAAGAAGCCCCGGCUAACUACGUGCCAGCAGCCGCGGUAAGACGUANGGGGUCAGCGUUGUUCGGAAUUACUGGGUGUAAAGGGUUCGUACGCGGUGUGGCAAGUCCGGAGUGAAAUUUCU
rnacentral:rRNA from 1 species